rnacentral:tRNA from 1 species
GCACUUGUAGUCCAACGGUUAGGAUAAUUGCCUUCCAAGAAAUAGACCCUGGUUUGACUCCUGGUAGAUGCA